rnacentral:rRNA from 1 species
CAGCCGCCGCGGGAAUACGUAGGGUGCAAGCGUUAAUCGGAAUUACUGGGCGUAAAGCGUGCGCAGGCGGUUAUAUAAGACAGAUGUGAAAUCCCCGGGCUCAACCUGGGAACUGCAUUUGUGACUGUAUAGCUAGAGUACGGCAGAGGGGGAUGGAAUUCCGCGUGUAGCAGUGAAAUGCGUAGAUAUGCGGAGGAACACCGAUGGCGAAGGCAAUCCCCUAGGCCUGUACUGACGCUCAUGCACGAAAGCGUGGGGAGCAAACAGGAUUAGAUACCCGAGUAGUCCCUGUCUCUUAUAC